UAUAUUAAACACAUAUUGAAC
ensembl:piRNA 21ur-10760 ncRNA